UCCUAAACCUUGGGAUUAAGAGGAUAUUAAUCAGCCUCCAACCAUUAAAUACGUAAGAAGUAUUGGAAUAAGGACCACUCACUGCUCAGAUUUAAAACUCCAUUCUUUUCCCUCUCGUCUCCCUCCGCCGUGUCGGAGGCCAUCAUCUGGCGGCAGAGACAAAUCAAAACAACAAUCAAGACUAAAACCCAACCCUGUUCUGUGCACUAAAUCUAAAAAUCCCAAUGAAAAAUCCUGAUUCAACCAGAGUUGUUCAAACCAAAGCCAAAAGGUGAAGAACCCUAGGAUAAUCAAAGUCAAAUUAAAUGGUGCACACUCAUAGAUUCUCGCUCAUGGAUGAGGGCUAUUGAUGCCAAGAACAUCCUCUACACCAUGGUAACAAUAUUACGAAAAGAAGAAAAGGAAGAAGAUUUACCUCUGGCGAAGGUUGAAUCGGAGAAGACGAAGAUGCAUCAGAAGAAUGCUUGAAUCAGGAAUUGAGAGAACUGUGGAUUCUGUGCUAUCGCUGCGUCAUCUUGCGUCGUGGUUUUUGUAUGCGCGAAAUUGAGAAUUGAAGGUGUCUUGAGGUGGAAAAAGAGGAUGUUCAAGGUGUGAAGAAUUUCUGUUGAAAAAUUUCCAGGCCAAAGAUUCCUGCCUAUGAAGUGAAGUUGACCGAAUGGCCACAUGAGGAGUUAUUGUAUAAGGAUCGAGAAAACUGUUCCUUCUGUGAGCCUUGUAUUCAAUCUUUGUUGUGGAGAUUUUCUGCUAAGUAUCUAACACGCCUUGUAUUCAAUCUUGUUGUGGAGAUGUUCUGCUAAGUAUCUAACUCCCCUGAAUUUUCUUGGUUCUGUUAUACCCUGUUGUUGUUAUGAUUGGUUACGAAUUGUAAUGACAUUGUUGUGGGCAGAUCUGCUAUGGGCCUGAUCUAUUCCAUCACGAACAAAAUGGAUAGACUGAACAGUGUUGUAGGUUGUCCUGGAGUGCAUUGGAAUGAGCCAUGGGAAGAUGUGCAUUGGAAGGAGACGAGACCGCGUUGGAUGUUCCGGAUUGAUCUUGGUAGAUAUAGCUAUGUUUGAAUAUUGUAAUAUGUUUUGGAACUUGUUAAAUGAAUGCGUUUAUGUGUUGUAAUUUGAGUACAUGGCAAGGUAAACUUGAAUAUGUAUGGUUAUUUUGAAGUUUGAAUGGCUCAAUGAGAAAUGCUCGAGUCGAAAAUUUGUACGUUGUUGGAAAUGGCAUAAUUGAUGUAUGGAAAAUGCCUUGAAGUAUAUAAUUUAAAAUAGUUAUGUAUUUGGAACAUGAA